AUGAACGCUGGCGGCGUGCCUCAUCCAUGCCCGUCGAGCGAACAGACGAGGAGCUUGCUCCUCUGACGUUAGCGGCGGACGGGUGAGUAACACGUGGAUAACCUACCUAUAAGACUGGGAUAACUUCGGGAAACCGGAGCUAAUACCGGAUAAUAUAUUGAACCGCAUGGUUCAAUAGUGAAAGACGGUUUUGCUGUCACUUAUAGAUGGAUCCGCGCCGCAUUAGCUAGUUGGUAAGGUAACGGCUUACCAAGGCAACGAUGCGUAGCCGACCUGAGAGGGUGAUCGGCCACACUGGAACUGAGACACGGUCCAGACUCCUACGGGAGGCAGCAGUAGGGAAUCUUCCGCAAUGGGCGAAAGCUUGACGGAGCAACGCCGCGUGAGUGAUGAAGGUCUUCGGAUCGUAAAACUCUGUUAUUAGGGAAGAACAAAUGUGUAAGUAACUAUGCACGUCUUGACGGUACCUAAUCAGAAAGCCACGGCUAACUACGUG
rnacentral:rRNA from 1 species